UUUAUGGAGAGUUUGAUCCUGGCUCAGGAUGAACGCUGGCGGCGUGCCUAAUACAUGCAAGUCGAGCGAACGGACGAGAAGCUUGCUUCUCUGAUGUUAGCGGCGGACGGGUGAGUAACACGUGGAUAACCUACCUAUAAGACUGGGAUAACUUCGGGAAACCGGAGCUAAUACCGGAUAAUAUUUUGAACCGCAUGGUUCAAAAGUGAAAGACGGUCUUGCUGUCACUUAUAGAUGGAUCCGCGCUGCAUUAGCUAGUUGGUAAGGUAACGGCU
rnacentral:rRNA from 1 species